GGAAAAGACCCAGUACAGUGUAGCCGUGAUGUGGUCAUUUGUCCUGAUGCCAGCCUUGAAGAUGCAAAAAAAGAGGGACCAUAUGAUGUGGUGGUUCUACCAGGAGGUAAUCUGGGCGCACAGAAUUUAUCUGAGUCUGCUGCUGUGAAGGAGAUACUGAAGGAGCAGGAAAACCGGAAGGGCCUGAUAGCCGCCAUCUGUGCAGGUCCUACUGCUCUGUUGGCUCAUGAAAUAGGUUUUGGAAGUAAAGUUACAACACACCCUCUUGCUAAAGACAAAAUGAUGAAUGGAGGAUGUCACCUUUUCUGUUUCUACUUUGCAGGUCAUUACACCUACUCUGAGAAUCGUGUGGAAAAAGACGGCCUGAUUCUUACAAGCCGGGGGCCUGGGACCAGCUUCGAGUUUGCGCUUGCAAUUGUUGAAGCCCUGAAUGGCAAGGAGGUGGCGGCUCAAGUGAAGGCUCCACUUGUUCUUAAAGACUAGAGCAGCGAACUGCGACGAUCACUUAGAGAAACAGGCCGUUAGGAAUCCAUUCUCACUGUGUUCGCUCUAAACAAAACAGUGGUAGGUUAAUGUGUUCAGAAGUCGCUGUCCUUACUACUUUUGCGGAAGUAUGGAAGUCACAACUACACAGAGAUUUCUCAGCCUACAAAUUGUGUCUAUACAUUUCUAAGCCUUGUUUGCAGAAUAAACAGGGCAUUUAGCAAACUA
rnacentral:lncRNA from 1 species